GUAAUCGCGGAUCAGAAUGCCGCGGUGAAUACGUUCCCGGGUCUUGUACACACCGCCCGUCACACCAUGGGAGUCGGAAAUGCCCGAAGUCUGUGACCCAACCUUAGGGAGGGAGCAGCCGAAGGCAGGUCGGAUGACUGGGGUGAAGUCGUAACAAGGUACC
rnacentral:rRNA from 1 species